UACGUAGGGUGCGAGCGUUGCCCGGAUUUAUUGGGCGUAAAGGGCGCGUAGGCGGUCACGCACGUCCGUUGUGAAAUCGCUCGGCUCAACUGGGCGGGGUCAGCGGAUACGGCGUGGCUGGAGCAAGCUAGGGGGCAAUGGAAUUCCCGGUGUAGUGGUGGAAUGCGUAGAUAUCUGGAGGAACACCAGUGGCGAAGGCGGUUGCCUGGAGCUUUGCUGACGCUGAUGCGCGAAAGCGUGGGGAGCGAUCCGG
rnacentral:rRNA from 1 species